UGUUUAGUAUAAGUAUGUCCCAUGCAAUAUUUAGGAUGUACUAAUACUAAAC
rnacentral:pre_miRNA from 10 species